GCGGACGUGGUGUAUGGCACGCUACUGCCGUCAAUCAUGUAUGAUGAACUGAACAAUAAGUCAGCAGUUGAACGGGGUUCGACUCCCCGCGUUCGCC